GGUCUGAUGCCACGUCUCUGGUAGCUAUAAGCUCUGACCAAAGAUGCUAUGAUUGGACCAAAAUCAAGAGUGCUUGUCAUUUAUUUCAUAUCCUGAUAGGAAUCUGCGUAUCCAAUAACAAUGAUUUUGCAGUGCCGAUUUUUGUGAUUACAUUU
rfam:Cicer arietinum chromosome Ca5, whole genome shotgun sequence.